rnacentral:misc_RNA from 1 species
UUUCCGUAGGUGAACCUGCGGAAGGAUCAUUAAAGAGAAUAUGCCCUUCGGGGUAGAUCUCCCACCCUUUGUUUAUAUUACCUUUGUUGCUUUGCCAGGCCCGUCUUCGGACCACCGGCCCCGGCUGGUAAGCGCCCGCCAGAGGACCCAAAACCCUGAAUAUUAGUGUCGUCUGAGUACUAUAUAAUAGUUAAAACUUUCAACAACGGAUCUCUUGGUUCCG